GAUAUGGCUCAGGAUGAACGCUAGCUACAGGCUUAACACAUGCAAGUCGAGGGGCAGCAUGAACUUAGCUUGCUAAGUUUGAUGGCGACCGGCGCACGGGUGAGUAACACGUAUCCAACCUGCCGAUGACUCGGGGAUAGCCUUUCGAAAGAAAGAUUAAUACCCGAUGGCAUAAUUCUUCCGCAUGGUAGAACUAUUAAAGAAUUUCGGUCGUCGAUGGGGAUGCGUUCCAUUAGGUUGUUGGG
rnacentral:rRNA from 1 species